ensembl:snoRNA
GGCCUCCUGGUGCUUACCACAGGCUGUUUUUACCCUGACUGUGAGGAAAGAGGAGGCAAACCUGCCCCAUGUUCACCCCAGCCCAGGCCACUGUGCCCUGGUCUGUAUUGUGAAUGGGGAGACAUGG